rnacentral:tRNA from 1 species
GCGGGGUUUGGUCAACUACUGCGAAAGUCGACGGAAAGGUCUCUGCUGCCACGGCCGCCCGCGAAGCCACGCGGUCUUGAAAACCGUUGAUGGGGCAACUCGUCCGUGGGUUCGAAUCCCACCCCCGCCG